UUCGAUUAUGGCUCAGAUUGAACGCUGGCGGGAUGCUUUACAUGCAAGUCGAACGGCAGCACAGACUUCGGUCUGGUGGCGAGUGGCGAACGGGUGAGUAAUGUAUGGAACGCGUACCCUAGUAGCGGGGGAUAACUACGCGAAAAUAGCUAAUACCACCCAUACGCCCUUCGGGGGAAAGCGGGGACCUUCGGGCCUCACGCAUAUUAAACAGCCGAUAUCGGAUUAGCUAGUUGGUGGGGUAACGGCUCGCAAGGCGGCCGAUCCGUAGCUGGUUUUGAGAGGACGACCAGCCACACUGGGUUCAGACACGGCCCAGACUCCUACGGGGAGGCAGCAGUGAAAUUUUGGACAAUGGGAAACUGGUCAGCCAUCCCGCGUGUGCGAUGAAGGCCUUCGGGUUAUCUAAGCACUUUUGGCAGGAAAAACGGCACAGAUAAUACCCGUGCAACUGGGCGUACCUGCAGAAUGGCACAACUAACUACGUGCCAGCAACCCCACCCGGUAGCCGUAGAGUGCAAGCGUUAAUCUGAGAUUACUGGGCGUAAAGCGUGCGCAGGCGGUUCGGAAAGAUCUUGAAAUCUGACUUAACUUUGGAACUGCAUUUUUAUGCAAGAGCUCGAGUGUGUCAGGGAGGUGGAGAUUCCGCGUGUAGCAGUGAAAUGCGUAGAUAUGCUGGAAGGAACCACCGAUAUGAAGGCAGCCUCACGGGGAUAACACUGACGCUCAUACGGCAGUAAGGAGCGAAACAGGAUCGACCCUGGUAGUCCGCGCCUAAACGAUGUCAACUAGCUGUUCAGGGCCUUCGAGCCUUGGUAGCGCAGCUAACGCGUGAAGCUGACCGCCUGGGGAGUACCCGGUCAUGGUUAAACUCAAAGGGUGGCGAGACCGCACGGCGGUGGAUGAUGGGUCAGAAAUUCGAUGCACGCCGCGAAAAACCUUACCUACCCCUUGACAUGUCUGGAAUCCCGAAGAGAUUUGGGAGUGCUCGCAAGAGAACCGGAACACAGGUGCUGCAUGGCUGCUCGUCAGCUCGUGUCGUGAGAUGUUGGGUUAAGUCCUGUCGGCGCAACCCUUGUCAUUGGAGUUAUACGAAGGGCACUCUAAUGGAGCUGCCGGUAACAAACCGGAAGGUGGGGGAUGACGUCAAAGUCCUCAUGGCCCUUAUGGGCGGAGCUUCACACGUCAUACAAUGGUCGGGGACGGUCGCGCCAACCCGCGAAGGGUGCCAAUCCCAGAAACCCGAUCGUAGUCGGAUCGCAGUCUGCAACUCGACUGCGUGAAGUCGAAUCGCUUGGCAAUCGUAGCGGAUCAGCAUGUCAUGGUGAAUACGUUCCCGGUCUUGUACACUACGCCGUCACACCAUGGGAGUGGAUUUUUUACCAGAAGUAGUUAGCCUAACCGUAAGGAGGGCGAUUACCACGGUAGGAUUCAUGACUGGGGUGAAGUCGUAACUGAGUAA
rnacentral:rRNA from 1 species